CAAACAUGCAGUGAUAAUCGCCCGCCAGCUGGCGGGAGGAAAGUCCGGGCAGCAUUAAGGUUUGACAGUUGCUAACGGCAACCAAGAGUGAUCUUAGGGAAAGUGCCACAGAAACAAGACUACCCCUCAUCUUUACAGAUGAGAUAUAGAAGUAAUUAGCGUAUCCAUAUCGUCUGUAGGGAUGAGGGGAAAAGGUGAAAAGAACGAAUAUUAAAAAAUCGUUGUUUAGCAGGGUGACUUGCUAAAAUGGUAAACCCUGUCAGCUGCAAGGAGCGAAAUUUUGCCGAAUUCGGCCAGUUGCCUUACUGAAUUUUGCGAUAAAAACCGCUUGAUCCGUUCUGAGCAAUCAGCGGACUAGAUAGAUGAUUAUCACCCGCACCUUGAUUAGCUAUAACAUCAGUUUAAACGUUUCAAUUAAGGUGUGGGGACAGAACCCGGCUUACUCGUAUGUUUGGUAU
rnacentral:RNase_P_RNA from 1 species